ensembl:snoRNA SNORA63 Small nucleolar RNA SNORA63
UGGCAGGUUGGGUUAAUUGUUAUGAUAUAGCUGUAAAGUGCUAUAUUGUCCUUUCCACCUGCUGAAAGUAAUUGUUUCCCACAAUCUCUGUCUAGCUCAAUUCUGUAGCAAGACAGGGACGCUUGGUCUCAAACAU